GCCGCUGGUGUGAGCCGGGGCUCGGCGCGAGCCAGGGACGACGGAAGGGACGGGCAGGUGUGGGCGCGGGGCCGCUCUGCCCGACGGCGGGAGUCGCAGCCACUCGGUGCAUGGGCCAGUGAGGACGCGCGGAGAUCCCCGCGCCGCGGCGAAGGCGGAGCAGCGCGGGAGCAAGGCGCUGCCCGGCGACCCUGCGUCCGAGCGAGCGGAACCUUGCGCUUCGCCCGGGGACGGUCCGAAGUCCGCGCUAUGGAAGAGGAGAAAUAUUUGCCUGAGCUGAUGGCAGAGAAAGAUAGCCUGGAUCCGUCUUUUGUGCAUGCAUCGCGCCUUUUGGCGGAAGAAAUUGAAAAAUUUCAAGGUUCUGAUGGAAAAAAAGAAGAUGAAGAAAAGAAAUAUCUUGAUGUCAUCAGCAACAAAAACAUAAAGCUCUCAGAAAGGGUAUUGAUUCCUGUCAAGCAAUAUCCAAAGUUCAAUUUUGUGGGGAAAUUGCUUGGACCAAGAGGAAACUCCUUGAAGAGACUACAGGAAGAAACAGGUGCUAAAAUGUCUAUCCUGGGCAAAGGAUCAAUGAGAGAUAAAGCAAAGGAAGAAGAAUUAAGGAAGAGUGGGGAAGCCAAGUAUGCCCACUUGAGUGAUGAACUUCAUGUAUUAAUUGAAGUGUUUGCUCCACCUGGGGAAGCUUAUUCACGAAUGAGUCAUGCACUGGAAGAGAUUAAAAAAUUCCUGGUUCCUGACUACAAUGAUGAAAUUCGUCAGGAACAGCUACGUGAAUUAUCUUACUUAAAUGGCUCAGAGGACUCUGGUCGUGGCAGAGGUAUUAGAGGCAGAGGGAUCAGAAUAGCCCCCACAACCCCUUCAAGGGGCCGUGGGGGCGCCAUUCCUCCUCCCCCCCCACCUGGACGGGGUGUCCUCACCCCUCGAGGGACUACUGUGACUCGUGGAGCUCUUCCAGUGCCUCCUGUAGCAAGAGGUGUCCCUACUCCACGAGCCCGCGGAGCACCGGCAGUGCCGGGAUACAGGGCACCCCCUCCUCCAGCCCACGAGGCUUAUGAAGAAUAUGGGUAUGAUGAUGGCUACGGGGGUGAAUAUGAUGACCAGACCUAUGAGACUUAUGAUAACAGCUAUGCCACCCAAACGCAAAGUGUGCCUGAAUACUAUGACUACGGUCAUGGAGUAAGUGAGGAUGCCUAUGACAGCUACGCACCAGAAGAAUGGGCCACAACCCGCUCCAGCCUGAAGGCACCACCGCCAAGGUCAGCCAGAGGGGGAUACAGGGAGCACCCCUAUGGUAGAUAUUGAAGGUCCUUCUCACCCGUGACCUCACCUCAAAGACAAUUCAUAGCCUGUGGUCUCCACAUAAACAGCAACAAGACAAGUAUCCACAAGCAAAGAGCACAUAAUUGAAUAGCAGAUGUGAUGGACUAAGAAGGAUAGAGGUAAGCUUAUUUUUUAUCCUCUCCGAAAUAGGGAGAUAAUCUAUACCAACACGGAGCUAUGGCAGUGAGCUAGGACACAAAAUGCCACUUGUUGAAAUACUGGAAAGGUUGAGACUGUUGUGAAGGAAUGGAGUUAUUUUUAUCUUCUUUGAAAUAAAGUGAUCUAACUCGGUAUUUUCCUGGCAAGGCUUUCUGAGCUUAUUCAGAAGCUUGUCAAAUGAAACGUGAAUUAGUUGUUAAUCUUCAGCCUUUUUCUUUGCUACGAAUUACUGUAUAUUGCCUUUCCCUAAUUGUACGAAGGAAGAGUAUUCAAACCUUUAAUCUGCAUUUAAGAGAAGGAAAUCACAAUUGUUGGCUGAGAUGGAGGGAGUGGGAAAGGGAACCCCAUAACCAGCCUGUUGCCUACCUUUUGUCAAUGAGAUGAUAUUUAUUAACAUGAACAUUUAUUUAGUCAAAUACAAAAACUAAACUUGCUCUUAUUUUCCCCAGUUAUUUCACUGGACUUGUCAAUAAACUUCUUGUUUCUCACCUGCCAUUCUAUUUGAUUCAGCAAAUAUUUACUGAAUUCAAAGCGUUAUAGGAAAUUGAGACUUAAUUUCUGUGCACAAGUAGAAAACUUUAGCCAAUAAACCUCAGACUGAAAACAAUGUAAGGGCAGUUAUGAAAUCCACAGACUGACUUGAGGCUCAGAGAAUUGAAAUGGCCUUGCCCCAGCGUUUAAAAUAGGGGUAAAACCCCAAAUUUCUUCUUCUGGGCCUGGUCUUCUUUUUACUACACAAAUAUCUAUGUAGCCUUAAAAUACCAUGUAGCCUUAAACAAGUACCAUAGGAGCAGUAUGAGAGAGCCUGGAGAUAUCUUUAUGACUAAAGGUAGGACAGAAACUAAGGGACCCUGAGAUGAGAGGGGUAGCCUGUCCAUUGAUGAGGAUCAAAGCGCCACCUGGUGAAGGGAAUAGGCUGUGUAACUUCAUGGAGUCCAAAAAGUUCAGGAAGUGUUUGAAAGGAAAGCAAUGGACCCUGAGAUCCAGAUUCAUGAAGGCACAGAGGUAAGGUCAAAUCAGGUGGCUGUCCUUGAGUGCUAUGUUAAAUUGUUCAGAUUUUAUGUGAAAAAUAAAAGGAAGCCACUUUUGGUUUGAAGUAAAUAAUCAGAGCUAAGGAAAGUAUCCCAAAGAACCACGGCAAACCACACUUUUUAGUCAUUUUUAUAAUUACUAACUGCCUCUUCAUCUGGGAGAACUUUUCUAAAAAUUCAAACUGUUAAGAUAACUAUUUAAAACUGCAGGUGCUUCAACUAAUCAAGUCCCUUUGUUAAGCCGCAGAAUGAAAGAUCAAAAGUUACAGAGAAUACAAUUCUGAAAUUUCCUUUCUCAGUAACAUUCCAUACCUGAUUUGACUCUUUAAAAAUGUUACUGGUUUUAUAAACCAAGGGGAGAAAGAAUCUCUAAUCCAGAUAUCCUGCAAAGUAUUCUCCUUUGAUCCUUUUCAAACAAUAGGCUUGAUCUUGUAAAGCAAUGAAAGAGAAACCAGUCACUGUCUGUUAUUAGUUUGAUAUAUUAAUCAAUAUGUUUUUGUGUCCACUGGAAUUCUUUUAUUAUUGCUGUUGUUGUUUCAUCACCCUGUGGCUUUCUCACCAUUCAGGCUGUAUCUUUGAAUGCAUUAACUCAGGGCAGGGCUGUCAGAGCAGAAACAUCAGUGCUGAUCAACAGAAGAGAACAUUCUUGGCUGCUGAAUUAAAAAGUAAGAGUUUGUAAAGCACAAAAAAACAUGAUUUGUGAGAAAGCUGAUUUUGAGUUUCAAAAGCCUGCAUUUUGAGUAGGCUUUAACUAGCACAUAAAGUUAUGUGUUAAUAGUAGACUCCAAUCGAUCAAUCAAUCAGCGAUUCAUCCACCAAACUUUGACUCUUAAAAUAAUCAGAAGUGAAUAUAGGCUUCUCCAGCAAUGGGGAAUGAUAAUUUCCCUAAGUUAGUGGCCUUUUAGCAGAAACCUUUGAUAGAAUGAAACUGUUCAGAGUGCCCAAAGGGUGCCUUCUUGUCUUGUCAGUAUCCCACAAUGAUGCCCCAUCCCAACGUCAUCCCUUCAUGACAUCACAUCUGCUCUUACUAGUUUCAAAGUGCUGGCACCCAAAGAUGGCAGGCAAGAGCUACCCUGCCAUUGAUAUACAAACAUUCUCAAGUCUGACAUUCACUUCUGCAAGUCAUAUAAACUUGCAUGGCAAAUUAAGGUUUAUAAAUGAUAGUGCAUUCCACAUAAGUGCAGCUUGAAGUUAUCCCUGUGUAUGUUCCAGCAUUAUUCAGAUAAUGCUGGAACUCUUGGAACACUGAUGAUCCUAUGACAGGUAAGAACUCACCAAAACACCAAAGGUAGCUAGCUUGGACACUAAACAAAAUAUUAUAAAUAGUAAUAAUAGCAUUAAUAUGGAAUAUGGUCUUUGUGCCUGCUAUUUGUCCAAAAGAAAGUUUUACUACACUCAAGUAUGAUUCAAUCAGAAUCAAUCUAAUGCAAUUUAAGAGACCAAAUAGUACUUUUAGGUCUUAUUUGUACUAUUUAGAUCAUUUUUAUUUUCAGUAUAUUAAUGGAACUAAGGCCAUUUAGCUUAAUAACAAUUGAAGCACUAACAGUUUUUAAAUAAAUUUGACACAAAUGACAUAUUAAAGGUUCCCAUGAAUUCUUCUCAGGGAAAUAGUUUGUUUUCAAACUGUAUUAUUAAGAAAUGAUUCUUGUGCCUUUAGUUCUUCACUUAAAAAUAAACCAUUGUGAAAACCACAAAUGUCCCUUAACUCUACAGCAUUCUCUCUCAUUAUCUCUAUGUCUCUUGGUUAACAUAAUAUAGAAGUUUAUAUGUUUCUGGGCGCCUGGAUGGCUCAGUCAGCUAAAUGUCUGACUUCACCUCAGGUCAUGCAUGAUCUCACAGUUGGUGGGUUCGAGCCCCACGUCGGGCUCUGUGCUGACAGCUCAGAGCCUAUAGCCUGCUUCAGAUUCUGUGUCUCCCUCUCUAUCUGCCUGUCCCCUGCUCACACUCUGUAUCUCUCUCAAAUAUAAAUAAACAUUAAAAAUUUAAAAAAAAAAGAAAUGCAUAGGUUUGUUUAUGGUUUUAAGGGACUAGAGAACAGUGAUCAGUAACCUGAGUUGGCCGAGUGUCAGGUACCAGUGUCAGUAUCAAGAGACCACCUGUUACUGAAAACUCCAUUCACUUGCUACUCUUGAAGGUUCUAUGGGAAUGUUUAAUAUUUUACUGCAAAAAAAGUGUGUAGUACAUGAUGAAAAUAUCCUAUUUAUGUGUUUUCUGAACAUAUCUUCCAGGCAAGUUACUAUCAUUCUCACAUAAAAACUUACAUGAAACAUCUGUGAUCCUUACAGCAAGAUUACCCCUAUUUUAUAGAACAGGAAGUUGAAGUCCAGAGGUUUAACUAAUGUCACACUAAUAACACAUAGCAAAGCCAAUAUUUAUAACAAACUUUGAAAACCCACACAUUUUCCAAAAUGGUGUGGUGAUCUCCAACUUUGAAUGAAUUUAAUUGAAAAGAGAAUCUAAAAUCUGAUAACCUUAACAUAAUUUCUAUUCUAUAGAAAUAUGAUAAACAUUGACUUAAAAAAAGAUUAUGAUAAAGCAUUUUAACUUGAAAUGCAUCUUGACUUGGAUCUUUCCUCAAGCUUGUCAUUCUUUCAAAAGUUCUGAUUCCAUCAUAGAAAAAUGUAGAUGAAAGCAUACCACAUUUGUUGUAAAGCAUGGCUACUGUCUUUGGUAGUACAAAUGAAUUCAUUUAUAAUCUAGAUUCCAUUUGACAUUUUAAAAAACACUCACAUGAUUAAAUAAGCAUGAAAGCAAUUUCAGGCUUUUAUUAUUCAAUAUAUAAAUCAGGACUCAGCUUUAAAGUACGAGAGUCAGUUUCAAAUCGGAAAUAUCUUUGUAUAAUCCAUGAGGUCAUGUGUUAACACAAGUGAAGGUAUCACUCAUUGUUAAAUAUUUUAAAAUGAAGUAUUUCCUGAUGCCAGUAUAAUGUGUAGCAUUUCUAAGUUUCCUACUAAAAUAUCUGAGUUAACAGUAAAAUACCUGUUCUUGUUGACAGGCAGGCACUAGUCUUCCAUAUUCACCAGAAAGAUAAAUUUCCUAGUCUCAUUACAUAGAAUUUAUUAAUUGGUACUUGAAAGAUCACUUACAGUGAGAGAAAACAGGUCACUCUACUUAAUAUGCUGUUUUAUAUCUCAGUCUCUUAUACUUUAUAGUCGGGCAAGUUGAGAAAACAGGAGAGGAAGCUCUCUGAUUCAUAUACCACUGGAUGCCUUAACAAUAGCCAGCUUAUCUGACUUUAUCAAAAAAGCAAGUGCAGAAUGAGCUAUCUUAAAAAUUGGGAGCGAGCUUCUAAGCACUAAUUUAGUUAACAUUUCUGUUCCAUCAUGUUUCAUACUUUGCAGGAGGAUACAGUGAAUGGUCUACUCACAAGAGAAAUUUGGAGACUCUUAGAUCAGAUCUUUGUAGAGCCUCUGGAAGCAAAUGUCAGCACUAGACAUAGAUUUUCUGUCACCUCAGUGCCUCUCAGGAUGACUUCUAUCAGUAGGAAAAUGUUUCUUCCCCUCUGUCUCAUUCUCUGUCUGCCCUACCACGUGUAUACCAUAUUUCCUAUAUUCUAGUCUCUUAGCCUGCCAUUUUUGACAUCAGGACAUUUUUCACCUUCUCUGAUAUCAUCUUGCCCCUUCCUUCCCAAUGCCUUCAUCACUUUCCCAAUUGUACAUGGGUACAUGAGAAAACAAAAGAAAGGCAGUUGAUGACUACUAGGGAAAGAGCACUCUCCAAACUAUUCAGCAGAUUGCCAUGUUAAGAAAUGUUGUCUUUAUCACAAAACCAGUAUGCCCACUGUAAACCAAAAAGUAUGCCAAGAAAAAAAAUCACAUUUAAUUAAGGCAGAUAAAUA